CAACAUCCCAAUUGGUUGGAGAAACUGCCAAUGUUACGGAUCUAUUCUUCUUGAAAUGUCAUCGAGUACGUAUUCACAAGGACACCCUUUUCCUAUACCGCCUGGUGGAUUCAACGUUUCGACAUCCGGGUGGAGCAACCGGAGCAACUGUGGAUGCCUGGCCGUAUUUCUCAGGCUAAAAGAUGUGUUACUGUCGACCUGAUCACCGCUGCUGCUGCCAGCAUCACCGGGUCGGCAUAUCUCAGUCGGACUCGGGAGCUCACUGCAGCCGUGAUGAUGGUGUGUCUAUGUAAAUGAGAAAAGAAGUUGUAUAUCUCUCUCGUCGUCCCUUCUCGCUGUGUGACCCCGGUGGAGAGAGAGAACGAAAGGAAAGAAAGAAAGAAAAAAAGGAAUAAUAAUAAUAAAAAAAAGGGCCAACGGAAUGGACGGGGUUGCACACGCGCGAGCGAUAUAUAGUGCCGACAGUCCAGCACACAACAAGAAAACCGUGAAUGUAAGGAAAGAAAAAAGGGCGCAACACGGAUCCGCCAGGGGGUCCGCUCCUCUUUUGUUUUCUUAUUACAAUAAAAAAAUGAAAAUAAAAAAAACUAAUAUUUUCUUUUU